rnacentral:sRNA from 1 species
UUCUCCACUGAACAAGUUUGGCAGUGGCAGCAGCAGUGCAAGCUUCUCCACACUGCUCUGUCAGUGUGCCUCAGCCUUGUUCUAGAGCAGUGAUGA